rnacentral:rRNA from 1 species
UACGAAGGGGGCUAGCGUUGCUCGGAAUUACUGGGCGUAAAGCGCACGUAGGCGGCUUCUUAAGUCGGUGGUGAAAUCCUGGAGCUCAACUCCAGAACUGCCUUCGAUACUGGGAAGCUCGAGUCCGGGAGAGGUGAGUGGAACUGCGAGUGUGGAGGUGAAAUUCGUAGAUAUUCGCAAGAACACCAGUGGCGAAGGCGGCUCACUGGCCCGGUACUGACGCUGAGGUGCGAAAGCGUGGGGAGCAAACAGG